rnacentral:rRNA from 1 species
UACGUAGGUGGCAAGCGUUGUCCGGAUUUACUGGGCGUAAAGAGCGCACAGGCGGUCGUUCAAGUCGCGUGUGAAAGCCCCCGGCUCAACUGGGGAGGGUCACGCGAUACUGAUCGACUCGAAGGCAGGAGAGGGUAGUGGAAUUCCCGGUGUAGUGGUGAAAUGCGUAGAUAUCGGGAGGAACACCAGUGGCGAAGGCGACUACCUGGCCUGUUUCUUGACGCUGAGGCGCGAAAGCUAGGGGAGCAAACGGG